GAUGAACGCUGGCGGCGUGCCUAAUACAUGCAAGUCGAGCGAACAGAUGAGGAGCUUGCUCCUCUGACGUUAGCGGCGGGCGGGUGAGUAACACGUGGAUAACCUACCUAUAAGACUGGGAUAACUUCGGGAAACCGGAGCUAAUACCGGAUAAUAUAUUGAACCGCAUGGUUCAAUAGUGAAAGACGGUUUUGCUGUCACUUAUAGAUGGAUCCGCGCCGCAUUAGCUAGUUGGUAAGGUAACGGCUUACCAAGGCAACGAUGCCUAGCCGACCUGAGAGGGUGAACGGCCACACUGGAACUGAGACACGGUCCAGACUCCUACGGGAGGCAGCAGUAGGGAAUCUUCCGCAAUGGGCGAAAGCCUGACGGAGCAACGCCGCGUGAGUGAUGAAGGUCUUCGGAUCGUAAAACUCUGUUAUUAGGGAAGAACAAAUGUGUAAGUAACUAUGCACGUCUUGACGGUACCUAAUCAGAAAGCCACGGCUAACUACGUG
rnacentral:rRNA from 1 species